AUGAAUCAACUGGGGAUCUUAUAAAAUUGCAAAUUCUGAUUCAUAGGUCUAGGAUGGGGGCAGAGAUUCUACAUUUCUAAUCAGCUUCCAGAUGCCCCUGAU
rnacentral:pre_miRNA from 1 species